rnacentral:rRNA from 1 species
GUGAGGAAUAUUGGUCAAUGGACGAGAGUCUGAACCAGCCAAGUCGCGUGAAGGAAGACGGUUCUAUGAAUUGUAAACUUCUUUUGUGCAGGAAUAAAGUGGGUUACGUGUAACCUUUUGUAUGUACUGUACGAAUAAGGAUCGGCUAACUCCGUGCCAGCAGCCGCGGUAAUACGGAGGAUCCGAGCGUUAUCCGGAUUUAUUGGGUUUAAAGGGUGCGUAGGUGGAUUGAUAAGUCAGCGGUGAAAGUUUGCAGCUUAACUGUAAAAUUGCCGUUGAAACUGUCGGUCUUGAGUGCAAAUGAGGUAGGCGGAAUGUAUUGUGUAGCGGUGAAAUGCUUAGAUAUAACACAGAACUCCGAUUGCGAAGGCAGCUUACUGGGAUGCAACUGACACUGAUGCACGAAAGCGUGGGUAUCAAACAGGAUUAGAAACCCGGGUAGUCC